UACAGAGGUCUCAAGCGUUGUUCGGAUUCAUUGGGCGUAAAGGGUGCGUAGGUGGCGUCGUAAGUCGGGUGUGAAAUUUCGGAGCUUAACUCCGAAACUGCAUUCGAUACUGCCGUGCUUGAGGACUGGAGAGGAGACUGGAAUUUACGGUGUAGCGGUGAAAUGCGUAGAUAUCGUAAGGAAGACCAGUGGCGAAGGCGGGUCGUCUGGACAGUUCCUGACGCUGAGGCACGAAGGCCAGGGGAGCAAACGGG
rnacentral:rRNA from 1 species